GGUUUUGUAGUGUAGCGGUUAUCACUCCGGAUUCUGAUCAUCAUCAGGAGCAUUCCGGCAACCCCGGUUCGAUUCCGGGCAAGACCU